CAACUAUAUUUUGAAAUCGUUUUCUCAAAUGUUACAAUCGAACCAAGUAAGAUCAGUUUAGUAAAUAUUGAGCCGGCUGUCAUGAGUUAUGGAGACGUUAUUAACCUCUGAGAUAGCUGGAUAUAUAGCAGUGUAUCAUCAACCUCAUAACCGCGUAGGAAAAGAAAGACUGCCAUGCACGUGUCGGUGGAAACGAAGUGAAGUUGACAGUGGCAGGUAAUACAACAAUGGGAUGUGAAGAAUGAGAUAAAUAAGGGGCUUCAAUUUUUUUUUCAUACUCCUCCUUAUCCUAUCACUGAUGGAACAAAAAUUGGGGAUGAACGGCGGUAAGCCCAUCCGGUGCAGAGCGGCGGUCUGCCGGAAGGCUGGGGAGGCGCUGAUGAUGGAGGACAUAAUGGUGGCUCCGCCGUUGCCUCAUGAGGUUCGGAUACGGAUCAUUUGCACCUCUCUCUGUCAUACCGAUAUCAAAUAUUGGAAAAUGAAGGAUCCUCCGGGGAUUGUUCCAAGAAUUUUUGGCCAUGAAGCUGUAGGGGAGGUUGAGAGUGUAGGAGUUGAAGUAAGUGAAGUAAAGCAAGGUGAUUUUGUGAUACCAACAUUCAUGGCUGAGUGUGAAGAAUGUAGAGAUUGUACGUCAAGUAAGAGCAAUCUUUGCUCUAAACAACCUUUUAAGCUCUCUCAAGGGAUGCCUCAAUGUGGGACAAGUAGGUUCACGGAUCUUAAGGGAGAGGUUUUGCAUCAUUUUAUGUUUGUUUCAAGUUUCAGCGAGUACACUGUGGUGGAUGUUACUCAUCUCACUAAGCUUGAUCCUGUUCUCAUCUCUCCUGACAAGGCAUGCCUCCUAGGUUGUGGCGUAUCGACAGGGGUGGGAGCUGCUUGGAGAACAGCAAAUGUGGAGAAGGGAUCUACUGUUGCCAUUUUUGGGCUUGGGACUGUGGGCUUAGCAGUUGCUCAAGGAGCAAGAAUAUGUGGAGCAGCUAGAAUCAUUGGAAUAGAUGUCAACCCACAUAAAUUAACAUUGGCAAAAGAGUUUGGAGUCACAGAGGUUGUUAAUUCUGGAAACAUUGGAGACAAAUCUGUGAGCCAGGUAAUCAAUGAGAUGACGGAUGGGGGUGCAGACUAUUGCUUUGAAUGUGUUGGAUUAAGUUCCUUAAUCAAGGAAGCAUUUGCAUGCUGCAGAAAGUUUUCUUGUGUCAAUGAGUUUAGGGUUGGGGGAAAACAAUUUUAUUUGGUGUGGAGGACCAAGCGUCACUUUUAGGUGUCAAAUGUAUAGAUGCCAUUUUUCAAGGGAAAAUGUUGAUAGGAUGCAUAUAUGGUGGACUUAAGCCCAAAUCAGACAUUCCCACACUCCUUCAAUGGUACAUUGAUAAGAAUAUGUAAACUUGGCUGGCAGAAAUUAGAAUUGGAUUUAUUUAUCACACAUGAAGUUGGGUUUGAAGACAUCAACAAAGCUUUCAGUUUGCUAAGUGAAGGCCAAUGCCUGAGGUGUGUGAUCUGGAUGACCAAAUAAUGAAGCAAACUCCUGCCUUGUUACUCCUCAAACUUAAGCGACUUUCAAUAUUACAAACUCCAUUUUGUAUUGAAGUUUAAUGUUUCUUUAGAACACAGCAAAUGCACGAGAUGCUCCAGUGAAAUAUACGUUGGUUGAGUUUAUGGUACUCCUCGAUGAUCCAAAGUGUCGAAGCCUAUACACACCUGGAUCGGCGUCUAUCGGUAUGUCCCAUUCAAUAGUGACUAAGUUGUUGAUAAACGUGUUGUCUAAUUUCCAUUUAAAAAACAAGGAGAAAUCAUCGUCAUCAUAUGCCGGUGUCCAUCGUUGUUUCUCUAGCCUUUCGACCAAGGCAUACGUCCCUUCGGUUAAGAGGUCAAAUCUUGGGUUUGCACUCCAAAAUGUGGCAGUUGGCUUUUGUUUGCUCCCAGUUUUGAACCAACCGUCUUUUGGUAAUUCGACGUCUUGUUGAAUGUCUCCAAAGUUUACACCAUUCGGGGGAGAUUCUCCAAAAGGGUCCAUUACGAGUCGGAGUUGGACAGAGGAAAGGUCUGGUGGUGAGGCAAUUGGUUUGGCAAUUUUUUCACCUUUGGCUAUUGCUAUUGCUAGUUUCUUGAACUCUUGUAUGUAUGCUGAUAGAGUGUGUGGCCCAUAGAGAGUUGAGGCAGCCUAAAUAUAACAUGAAAACAUCGAAUGAUUAAUAAAAACAACUUAUAUUGUCAAAACUAGCCUCUCAAGUGUUUUCUUAUUUCAA